GGGCACUUCAUUGAAUAAGUUGAUAGUCACAGGGAUUCAAUAAAUUCGAAUAGAUUUCUCAAUAAUUGUCAAACUGCUAAAAUAGACGGACGACUCAUGACAGCUUAAUGAACUUAAUUUAAUAUUGUCCAGCUACUGCCCUCGAAGGGGAAAACAAAUAAAAAUAUAACAGAAGCAAAGUAGAAGGAAAGAAAAAGAAAAAGGAGCGUUUGACAAAGAUCCAUCAAACAUGUGCAGCACAUCAAAAGUCUCCUUCCAUUUGAUACUGGUUCACCUGUAAAGUUGGCAAUUCGCACCAAACUCACAAUACUAUAAUGCAAGCCUAAUAAAAAGAACUCUCUUCCAGCUAAUAUCCAUCCCAUCAUCAACCCAUGCAAUCAAUAUCAAAAUCUCUGUUCAAAGUCUUUCUUCUUCAAAGCAACUGCAAGAAUCAUUGCUAUGUUCUAUAAAACUUUCUUUUCAAUCUUCAAUAUCAUUGCAAAAAUAAAAAAAGAAAAAGUAUUCAGCAAACUGAGUGAUAAAUGAGGGGGAAAAAAGCUAUAAACGAAACAACUAAUAAAUUUUCAUCCGCUAGAAACUAGUUCGAGGGCAAAAACUUACUAACAGUAAUAAAGUAUAUGACAAAUAUUAUACAAAAUCCUCACUCUCUUCCCCCCUUCCCUCCACUGCACUCCCUUUUUCACACAGAAGAAAUAAAAAGAAAUGACAACAAAAAGAAACAAACCACCUUUUCUGACCCACCAUAGCCAAAUCAGUAGGCUAGGAACAAUGAAUCCAAUGCAAACAACUUAUAGCUCUGCUGCUCAGGUUUUAGUCCAAUCAGGAAUUAGUUCAUUAAAGAAACGAGCAAAACCAGUAAAUACAAUGAAACCAAGAUACACCUGCGAUGAUUACCUUUCCUUUCGUCUCCUUUUUAGUGCUUAUCAAUCUUCUGUGUUCGUCAUCGAAGAUCAGUUGAUUUAAAUGAGUCUGCAAAGCCAGAGGGCUUUGCAGGAAUACUUGAUUGCGUCUGAGAGUAGGAUAUAUCGUUAAACAAUGAGGAAGAGCUUUCAUCAGCUUGCCAUCUUUGCAGAGCUUGUGGAAGGCUCAUAUGGAGGUCAAUGCCAUAACCUUCGUCUUCUUCACGGCUAGCAGGUCUCCAUUGCUCUACAAGAGGCCCCAACACAUUAACUGCAUGCCCCAUGUCAGGUCUUUGGUAUGGCUCACGAGAAGUGCAAUGUCCUGCUAGCUCAGCCACUCUGUAAAUGCUGGCUAAUGUCUCCUCAUCCAAUUCGAUAGUCUGAUCAAUCACCUUUGGAAUGCUCUCUUUAUUGAUUAGGACCCUGCGAAACCAUGUAACCAGAUGGGCCUUCUCAUCUGGCAAGGUGUCAUCCAGAGCUUUUCUGCCAGUUAUGAUCUCCAUCAAAACAACUCCAAAGGCAUAAACAUCC
rnacentral:misc_RNA from 1 species